rnacentral:rRNA from 1 species
CCUACGGGAGGCAGCAGUGAGGAAUAUUGGUCAAUGGGCGCGAGCCUGAACCAGCCAAGUCGCGUGAGGGAAGACGGUCCUAUGGAUUGUAAACCUCUUUUGUCGGGGAGCAAAAGACGCCACGCGUGGCGUUCCGAGAGUACCCGAAGAAAAAGCAUCGGCUAACUCCGUGCCAGCAGCCGCGGUAAUACGGAGGUGGCAAGCGUUGUCCGGAAUUACUGGGUGUAAAGGGAGCGUAGGCGGGAAAGCAAGUUGAAUGUUUAAGGUACGGGCUCAACCUGUACAAGCGUUCAAAACUGUUUUUCUUGAGUGGAGUAGAGGUAAGCGGAAUUCCUAGUGUAGCGGUGAAAUGCGUAAAUAUUAGGAGGAACACCAGUGGCGAAGGCGGCUUACUGGGCUUUAACUGACGCUGAGGCUCGAAAGCGUGGGUAGCAAACAGGAUUAGAUACCCGAGUAGUC